UAAUUUUUUCUCUCUCUCUCUUUCUUUACGAACUUAGAAACUCUCUCAACUCUCACUAACCUUCACUCUUUUUGGAUUAUCGAGCAUGCAGUACACAAAUCAGAAUAUGGAGAAGAAGAUAAACUCAGAGAUAUACAUGGUUCGACUUGAAUCCUAUAUCCACGGGAAGGUGUUGUUUUGAUUAACAAGAGCUACAAGAAGAUAAGAAACUUUUCCUUUUACAGAGUCUUUCUUUUGUUUUUCUGUAUUUCAAGCUACUAAACAAUUUACAAAUUUUGUAUAUAUACAAACAAUGGACUAUUUCAAUGUGAUGAGAAACUGUUUUAAGAUAGAUUUAACCUUUGAGAACAUUUCUUCACAAAUCUCUACCUCGAUCUCAAUGCAUGUAGCUCUAAUUUCCUUCCAAAACUGAUGUUUGUCUAACCCUUUUUCAGGUAAUUCGAAGCCAAUCGUUUAUAAGCAUUUGAGCAGCUUGAGUUUUGAGAUGGGUUUCGUAAGCAUAUCUAUUGGAUUUUCUGAGACCCAAAACACAAUUGAAGGAAUCUGAUCCACGAAAGAAUAGAGUAGAUGAAAAAAGAGGAUGGGAAAAGCCAUGAUUUUGAGUUGAAUGAAGAGCACACGAUGAAAACCACUUUUUCCUUUUCUGAUGUGAAUGAGAGAAGAUCAUAUGAAAAUAAUUUUGAUGAAACAAAGGAUUAUCGAGAAUGCAACACACAAAUCAAAAUAAGGAGAAAAAGAUGAACUCAAAGAUAUACGUGAUUUGGCUUGAAGCCUACAUCCACGGGAAGGUGUUGUUUUGAUUAACAAGAGCUACAAGAAGAUAAGAAACUUUUCCUUUUACAGAGACUUUCUUUUGUUUUUUUUGUACUUCAAGCUACUAAACAGUUUACAAAUUUUGUAUAUAUAUAGGUUUAACCGUGUGAUGAAAAACUGUUUUACGAUAGGUUUAACUGUUGAGAUCAUUUCUUCACA